rnacentral:rRNA from 1 species
GAUGAACGCUAGCGGGGGGCCUAACACAUGCAAGCCGAGCGGUAUUGUUUCUUCGGAAAUGAGAGAGCGGCGUACGGGUGCGUAACACGUGUGCAACCUGCCUUUAUCUGGGGGAUAGCCUUUCGAAAGGAAGAUUAAUACUCCAUAAUAUAUUGAACGGCAUCGUUUAAUAUUGAAAGCUCCGGCGGAUAGAGAUGGGCACGCGCAAGAUUAGCUAGUUGGUGAGGUAACGGCUCACCAAGGCGAUGAUCUUUAGGGGGCCUGAGAGGGUGAUCCCCCACACUGGUACUGAGACACGGACCAGACUCCUACGGGAGGCAGCAGUGAGGAAUAUUGGUCAAUGGGUGCAAGCCUGAACCAGCCAUCCCGCGUGAAGGACGACUGCCCUAUGGGUUGUAAACUUCUUUUGUAUAGGGAUAAACCUACCCUCGAGAGGGUAGCUGAAGGUACUAUACGAAUAAGCACCGGCUAACUCCGUG